GAGUUUGAUCGUGGCUCAGGACGAACGCUGGCGGCGUGCCUAACACAUGCAAGUCGAACGGAGAACUCGAAAAGCUUGCUUUGAGAGUUCUUAGUGGCGGACGGGUGAGUAACGCGUGGGCAACCUCCCCCUUAAACCGGGACAACCCUUGGAAACGAGGGCUAAUACCGGAUACGCUUUUCUGAGGACAUCCUCGGGAAAGGAAGGCGGCCUCUGAAGAUGCUGCCGAUAAGGGAUGGACCCGCGUCUGAUUAGCUGGUUGGUGGGGUAAAGCCUACCAAGGCGACGAUCAGUAGCCGGCCUGAGAGGGUGAACGGCCACACUGGGACUGAGACACGGCCCAGACUCCUACGGGAGGCAGCAGUGGGGAAGUCUUCCGCAAUGGACGAAAGUCUGACGGAGCAACGCCGCGUGUAUGACGAAGGCCUCGGUUGUAAGUAC
rnacentral:rRNA from 1 species